rnacentral:rRNA from 1 species
UUUUUUGUAAAUUUAAUAAUUAAAGUUAUUUUAAUUUGUGAAGAAACAAUUAUAUAAAUUAAGGACAAGAAGACCCUAAGAAUUUAAGAAUUCUUAUGUUACUUAAAUAUAAAAUAGGAAUUCUUAGUUGGGGCAACUAAAAAACAUUAUAAACUUUUUUUUCUUUAAAAUGACCCAUUAUUAAUGAUAAUAUGAUUAAA